rnacentral:siRNA from 1 species
ACACCACGAGGUCCAUAGAACAUGU